CAGACAAGUGGCUGAUGACGAUAACAUCCAUCACAUGAUCAACAAUUACAAUGAAGUUCAUGCAAAUAUAAAUGACUACAAGUAUUUCAUAUUUUCAGGACAGUUAAUAUUUGUUAGUGAAUUAAAUAGUUUGCAGUUUCUCUAGGUUGGCGCUUCCAGUCACCCCAAGCUUUACUGCAGCUUGCAGGAGAUCCAGGGGCGGCUCGGUAAUGGUCUGGGUAAGGCCUGCACAGCCCUUCAUGUCAGAACCGACCGUUUCCUGGAUGCUCUGAGCAACCAGCGCACUUGACUCCUCUGAGGGCUCCUCCAGAUUUUAUCUGAUAAUGUCAUUGUUGUGAUUAGGAGACGAGGAGGACGGAGGUCAGUCUGUCUAACACGUUUCACUACAUUCAGGUUUGUUGAGGCGUCAAGUUGGGGUCAUGAACAGACCUGAACGGACCCAACCUGAACCAGCGCAGCUUUGUGGGUGCAGAGAUCGCGGUGAUGGUUGUUCUGACCCUAGGGCCUAAUUUGGAUGGGGGGGGGGGUUCAGACUGCCCCUCCUCCACACCCUGGAGGUAAAGAGGUGGCAGACGCCUCUCUUUGUUCUGAAAUACAGAAUCAACAGCAAUCGUGACACUGGGGGAUUUAAAGCUGUGACGGUUAUUGGGGCUCAUCAGGUUCUGGGAGACAAACCACAUCCAGGAAGAGCUUGGGACUCCCUUCACCUCAAAGGGAUUCUUAGCAUGUGAACUUGUUUCUGACCCCAGCUGGGUCCUCUGAGACCUCAGGAUGUGGACGUUACAGUCCUUAAACUCAAGUCAGGUCAAAACUAGUUUGAGCUUAGUUUUGAUAGAUUCUAGCAGGUGAAGCAGAUAGUUUUAGCUGAGAACAUUUAAACACAUCUCACCUAUUGUAGCGGUCGCUGCCACGAGGGGGCGCUGGCGAGCUGUAUUUCAUCGGACUGCAGACCGGUGGUCGGACACAACAGUUUACCAAAAUGUUUACACAGGAGUAAAACUCCUGGGAGCUGUUGCACAAAAGUAGGAUAAGAGAUUAAGCUAGGAUUUAUUCUCUCAGAGUUAUUCUGGUUGAAUUUAGCCCUGACUCAGUUGCAUGAAAGCAGGCUAAAUUAAGACAAGUAAAGUUACCAUGGAAAUUUAUGCUUUGUGACGGGCCUGCUGCGGGGCAGGCUGACAACCAGGCUAAGAUUAAUCCUAGAGCUGAUCAGUCAGCUCCGCUGUUAAUUCUACUAGAAAUCAAUGUGUGUCACAAUUCCAUGCACUUCUGUAAAUAUUGUACAUCAUUUACUAGCAUGCCCCAAACUGUCACACAGAUGGUGUGUGUAGCACUGGGAUUCUUUGCAAGUGGCAUGUUUCUUCAUUCAGUUGGAGACACAGAGAACUUAAUAAAGGCAAUAGGAGUUCCACAAGAUUGCAGGUAAAUGUCAUGAAUACAUAUUACAUUAAAGUUACACAGUUGGACACUCGUUAUUCUGUUACAGCUUUCCCUAAUGUCAUUGGUGCAUUAGAUUGCACCCAUGUCCUUAUAACACGGCCUUUAGGGGCUGUAAUGGAAAGAUUUUGCCUUUGUGCUGUUUCUUAUCCAACACAGUCGUCAUGUGCUGGUUAGGUGCAACACUAAACAUUCUCACACAAACAACUAAUCUCUUGUGCUGUCGUACAUCAAGUCUAAACAUCUGAUGUUCCAUUUGACUGACUAAUAAUUUAUGAUAUGUGUUUGUCUUUUACACCCGGACUCUGGCUCCAUCCUAUCUGACUCCCCACCAGACCCAAGGCUGUUAAAGCCAAUGCAUCUUGUCUUGGAAGCUCGGUGUUCCUUCCUUUGGAUAACAAGACAUGACGAUGCAGAAGUGAGAAAGCAAACAUUCUCACUCACAGCGAGAUAAGGUGGCGCAAACAAUUCCAUUGCUGCAGAGAGACAUUUAUACCAGAGCCAGAGAAAGGGGUUAAAAGGCAGAAGCAACGUGAGGAUCGUGGGCUCUUUGCAUCACACCUUCGUGGUGUGUGCACUGAUCUCAGCUGGUUUUUGGUUUGUUGAUGUGCACGAUCAACAUCCAUGCUUUUUGUUUGCUUUCCCCAUUAUUUUUAUUUUCUUUAUUAUUUCAAUAAAUCGCACAAAAGGACAACUCUCUCAUCUGCUUCUUUAUGGAAAAUUUCCACCACAGGGCACAUGAGGGAGAUUACAUCAACAGGAAACCCUUCCAUAGUAUCAAUGUUCAGAUAAUCUGUGAUGCGGAUUGCCUCAUUACAAAUUUUGAGGCAAAGUGUCUCAGUCCAUGACUCCAGAAUCUUUCGGUCAAAUAGACUCUACCAGAGACUCACUAGGUGAGUUCUCUGGUGUGCUGCAAGGUGACAAAGGCUAUGCCUGUGACACAUUCCUGCUGACACGCCUGGCAGAUCCCUGAACCCCAGCACAACAGGCCUAUAACCAUGCCCACGCCAGAACAAGGGUCGGAUCCAAAUGACCUUUGUGCUCCUGAAAUGUAGCCAUUUAUCCAGAUGACAGAAAUGUUAGACUGAAAACACUUUUUUCACUUUAAAUCAAUAUGUAUAUACACUAGUGUACAAUACAUCCAUAAUAAAAGACAGAGCACAUCAGUUUCAGGUUUCAAUCAUUUAUUAGUGUGAGAGCUGAACAGCUCUCACACUAUUGAUAUCUUCGAUCUUUAUUAUUCUUUUUAUUUCACCCGUUUUUCGGUCGCUUUCAUCGUCUCAACGCUUCAUCGUAGAAUCGUCGUUCAACUUUCUAAACGUGUGUC